CAAAAAUGGUGUUAAAAUUAAUGUUUAUUAUUAUAAAGCAUAAAUUAAUCGAUUUUCAGCGUUAGUUAAAGAAAUAAUAACAAAACUAUGUGAAACAUCGGAAGAACAGCCAUGAGAAGAAUUCAAACAUAGACGAAUAUACACGAACUCAAAAUUGAUGCGAUCACGAAAAAAAUCCGUUCAGUUAAAGGUUUUAAUCAGGUUAUUAAAAUAUUAAACAUAUUGGUCCAGCAACCGAAGCGUUCACAGUUUUACCAAGCGAAUAACAAUCAUAGCAUCAUUUGCGGUCUAAUUAUACAUUCCUUUGUUGUUUUCGGUUUUGGAAAUCAUCCUUUUAAAGGUGUUUGGCUACGACAGGAGCUCUAGCUUGUUGAAGUGCGCCCGUACAACAUUUUUCUUGUCGGUAAAUUUGUUUUAUUAACGCACCGUGAAAGAAUACAGUGAGUUUCAAUAGCGGUAUGUGCUGAAGCGAAUCAACUGAGACACACAUCGUUCUUUUUACUUUUUGCUUGCAGAUAUGAAUUCUAGCCAAAGCUUUGGAAUGUAGAUAUGCGAAAUCAUUUUAUUCAGUGGUUAGAAAUGAAACUUAAUCACGGAAGUAAUAAGCAACGUGCGUGCGAUGCGCUAAAUUUUAUAAUAGGCCCUAACUUGCUAGUGAAUAUGUCGUGGACAGGAAAGGGUAAAGCCGGAGAAAAGGUAGCUUUAUGCAAUUUUAUAAACAUAUUGCAAGCCAUUCAGGAAGUUGGUGAUAACUGUAUGAACGAAGAGCUUAAAGCAUGGAUGCAGCUAAAACUUCAUCAUAGUGAUAAUGUGCUAAAAAGAAAGUAUUCUAGUAAGCGUACUUGCCAUGAGCGUAAAAAUAAGUUACCCAAGAUAGAUUAAGACAAUUCUAUAUGUAGGUAGUUAAUUACAGUUACAGGAACAAUAAGAUAGACAUUCAGUUUUGUGCAUCACACGCAACACGUUUUUUGUCAAUAUGAAAUUAAAUAAAUAUGAAAUACUUA